rnacentral:rRNA from 1 species
GAUGAACGCUGGCGGCGUGCCUAAUACAUGCAAGUCGAGCGAACAGACGAGGAGCUUGCUCCUCUGACGUUAGCGGCGGACGGGUGAGUAACACGUGGAUAACCUACCUAUAAGACUGGGAUAACUUCGGGAAACCGGAGCUAAUACCGGAUAAUAUAUUGAACCGCAUGGUUCAAUAGUGAAAGACGGUUUUGCUGUCACUUAUAGAUGGAUCCGCGCCGCAUUAGCUAGUUGGUAAGGUAACGGCUUACCAAGGCAACGAUGCGUAGCCGACCGGAGAGGGUGAUCGGCCACCCUGGAACGGAGCCACGGUCCAGACUCCUACGGGAGGCAGCAGUAGGGAAUCUUCCGCAAUGGGCGAAAGCCUGACGGAGCAACGCCGCGUGAGUGAUGAAGGUCUUCGGAUCGUAAAACUCUGUUAUUAGGGAAGAACAAAUGUGUAAGUAACUAUGCACGUCUUGACGGUACCUAAUCAGAAAGCCACGGCUAACUACGUG